rnacentral:tRNA from 1 species
GGGCGUUUAGCUCAGCUGGUUAGAGCGCACGGCUUACAUCCGUGAGGUUCGGGGGUUCGAAUCCCUCAACGCCCA